AUGAACUCUUUCCCAGGAUCAGUGAUUGUGUUAUUGUUAAUGUUUGGAAGAAGCAAUGGAGACUCCGUGACACAGACAAAAGGCCAAGUGACCCUCUCAGAAGGGGCUUCCCUGACUGUGAAUUGCUCCUAUAAAACCACAGGGUACCCCACUCUUUUCUGGUAUGUUCAGUAUCCCGGAGAAGGUCUACAGCUCCUCCUGAAAGCUGCGAAGGCCAACGAGAAGGGAAGCAACAAAGGAUUUGAAGCCACAUACCAAAAACAACCAGAUGCCUUCCACUUGGAGAAAGCCUCAGUCCACCAGUCAGAUUCUGCAAUGUACUACUGUGCAGUGGGUGGCACAGUGACAGAAACUGCAGGGGGAGCUGAGCACAAACUCUGA